rnacentral:rRNA from 1 species
UACAGAGGUCUCAAGCGUUGUUCGGAUUCAUUGGGCGUAAAGGGUGCGUAGGUGGCGCUGUAAGUCGGGUGUGAAAUUUCGGAGCUUAACUCCGAAACUGCAUUCGAUACUGCGGUGCUUGAGGACUGGAGAGGAGACUGGAAUUCAUGGUGUAGCAGUGUAAUGCGUAGAGAUCAUGAGGAAGACCAGUGGCGAAGGCGGGUCUCUGGACAGUUCCUGACACUGAGGCACGAAGGCCAGGGGAGCAAACGGG